rnacentral:lncRNA from 11 species
AAAUGGCGUAAAGACGUUUACGCGGUCGAAGGGGAGUUGGAGAAGAGGACAGUAACCCACAAGGAACGUUCUGUCUCAUAAGCGUGGUGCGUUGCACUUAAAUAUAGUCGGUGCAUAGAGAGGAAGAUAGAGAAAAGUUCAGGCAUACGUAUAUGCGUACGUACCGUUGCGGUGGAAGAAAGAUAGAAAAAAAGUGCGACGCGGCGUUCGUUCUUCUCGUCGUCCUAUUAUUCUCUUUUAGCACAACGGGCUCCCUGCUUGUUUGGAAGUAGUACACUCACGGAUUCGAACGGUCGACAUUAUAAUAUCCGUAACUGUCCGACGUCAUUGUUUGACCAGCUUUUAACACGUUCAACUAGGCUUGAGCCGCUGAUGGUUUAAAGUGCUGUGUCGGCGCAAGACACCGUGGUGCCUCAAAACAGAAUUGUACGUUUUUAACACUUUGGACCGUGUGUCCUGUAACUGUGCUGCGUUAGUGUUGGUUUUGUAUUACAGCUGGGAGAACGGUUAAAAACUCUGUUGACAGAUGGAAACAAAUUUCUUUUUUAAAACAGAAAUACUCAAAUUAGUGAUAAAAUUAACUUUCGUGCAAUGGAAUCCGAAUAAUGAUUUCGUAAAAUGUAUAUGAAUUCCGGAGAAUGUAGUAUACAAAGUUUUGUAGAAAGUACAACAUAAAAAAUGUGAAGCAUCGAAAUUCUUCGCUUGGAAAAGUGAAUAUAAAUACAUAUGUAGUAUGAAACACUACGAAACAUUAUGAAAAUAUGUAU